rnacentral:rRNA from 1 species
AGAGUUUGAUCCUGGCUCAGAACGAACGCUGGCGGCAGGCCUCAAACAUGCAAGUCUAGGGGGUGUAGCAAUACAUCACCGGCGGACGGGUGCGUAACGCGUGGGAAUGUACCUAUUGGUUCGGAACAACUGAGGGAAACUUCAGCUAAUACCGAAUGAGCCCGUAAGGGGAAAGAUUUCUCGCCAAUAGAUCAGCCCGCGUCCGAUUAGCUAGUUGGUGGGGUAAUGGCCUACCAAGGCAACGAUCGGUAGCUGUUCUGAGAGGAAGAUCAGCCACACUGGGACUGAGACACGGCCCAGACUCCUACGGGAGGCAGCAGUUGGGAAUCUUGGACAAUGGGGGAAACCCUGAUCCAGCCAUGCCGCGUGAGUGAUGAAGGCCUUCGGGUUGUAAAACUCUUUCGACGGGGACGAUAAUGACGGUACCCGUAGAAGAAGCUCCGGCUAACUUCGUGCCAGCAGCCGCGGUAAUACGAAGGGGGCUAGCGUUGUUCGGAAUUACUGGGCGUAAAGCGCGCGCAGGCUGUCCUCCAAGUCAGUGGUGAAAGCCCGGAGCUCAACUCCGGAAUUGCCAUUGAAACUGUGGGACUGGAGUACGAGAGAGGUGAGUGGAAUUCCCAGUGUAGAGGUGAAAUUCGUAGAUAUUGGGAAGAACACCAGUGGCGAAGGCGGCUCACUGGCUCGUAACUGACGCUCAGGCGCGACAGCGUGGGGAUCAAACAGGAUUAGAUACCCUAGUAGUCC